ACUGGGUGCAGUGGUGCACACCUAUAAUCCCAGCUACUUGGGAGGCUGAGGCAGGAGGAUCACAAGUUUGAGGCCUUCCUCAGCAAUUUAGCAAGGCCCUAAGCAACUUAGUGAGACCCUGUCUGAA
rnacentral:sRNA from 1 species